rnacentral:rRNA from 1 species
AGCCUGCUCUAUGAAAUUUUAAAUGGCCGCAGUAUUUUGACUGUGCAAAGGUAGCAUAAUCAUUAGUUUCUUAAUUAGAAGCUGGAAUGAAGGGUUUAAUGAAAAAAAAACUGUCUUAAUUUAAAAAUUAAAACUUUAUUUUUAAGUUAAAAAGCUUAAAUUUAUUAAAAAGACGAGAAGACCCUAUAGAGUUUAAUAAAUUUAAUUUUAUAAAAUUUUAAGAUUUAAAUAAAUUAUAAAUUUAUGGUUUAUUUUAUUGGGGUGAUGAAAAAAUUUGUAAAACUUUUUAAAAUAUAAGUUCAUUAAUAUAUGAAAUUUUGAUCCUAAGUUUUAGAUUAAAAGAAAAAAUUACCUUAGGGAUAACAGCGUAAUUUUUUUUGAAAGUUCUUAUUGAAAAAAAAGAUUGCGACCUCGAUGUUGGAUUAAAAUUUAAUUUUGGUGUAGAAGCUAAAAUAUUAAGUCUGUUCGACUUUUAAAAUUUUACA